rnacentral:rRNA from 1 species
CGGCGUGCUUAACACAUGCAAGUCGAACGAAGCACUAUUAUUUGAUUUCUUCGGAAUGAAGAUUUUAGUGACUGAGUGGCGGACGGGUGAGUAACGCGUGGGUAACCUGCCUCAUACAGGGGGAUAACAGUUAGAAAUGACUGCUAAUACCGCAUAAGACCACAGUACCGCAUGGUACAGGGGUAAAAACUCCGGUGGUAUGAGAUGGACCCGCGUCUGAUUAGGUAGUUGGUGGGGUAACGGCCUACCAAGCCGACGAUCAGUAGCCGACCUGAGAGGGUGACCGGCCACAUUGGGACUGAGACACGGCCCAAACUCCUACGGGAGGCAGCAGUGGGGAAUAUUGCACAAUGGGGGAAACCCUGAUGCAGCGACGCCGCGUGAGCGAUGAAGUAUUUCGGUAUGUAAAGCUCUAUCAGCAGGGAAGAAAAUGACGGUACCUGACUAAGAAGCACCGGCUAAAUACGUGCCAGCAGCCGCGGUAAUACGUAUGGUGCAAGCGUUAUCCGGAUUUACUGGGUGUAAAGGGAGCGUAGACGGAGUGGCAAGUCUGAUGUGAAAACCCGGGGCUCAACCCCGGGACUGCAUUGGAAACUGUCAAUCUGGAGUACCGGAGAGGUAAGCGGAAUUCCUAGUGUAGCGGUGAAAUGCGUAGAUAUUAGGAGGAACACCAGUGGCGAAGGCGGCUUACUGGACGGUAACUGACGUUGAGGCUCGAAAGCGUGNGGAGCAAACAGGAUUAGAUACCCUGGUAGUCCACGCCGUAAACGAUGACUACUAGGUGUCGGGCAGCAAAGCUGUUCGGUGCCGCAGCAAACGCAAUAAGUAGUCCACCUGGGGAGUACG